UACGGCUCAGUAACACGUAGCUAAUCUGCCCUUAGGUUGAGGAUAACCUCGGGAAACUGAGGCUAAACCUCAAUACGGGUGGAGUGCUGGAACGCACCCACCCUGAAAAGCAAUGCCUAAGGAUGAGGCUGCGGAAGAUUAGCUAGUUGGUGGGGUAACUGCCUACCAAGGCAAUGAUCUUUACGGGCUCUUAGCGGAGUUGCCCGGAGAAGGAAUCUGAGACACUAUUCCUAGCUCUACGGAGUGCAGCAGCAGCGAAUCAUUUGCAAUGUACGAAAGUAUGACAAUGCGAACCAAAGUGCUUUUCUAUUUUUGAAAAGCUUUUCUUUGCUGUAAAAAGGCAGAGGAAUAAGGACUGGGCAAGACUGGUGCCAGCCGCCGCGGUAAUCCCAGCAGUUCAAGUUGCAUCCACUUUUAUUGGGUCUAAAACAUCCGUAGCUUGUAUUAUAAGUCUCUUGUGAAAUCCUACGUCUCAAGCGUGGGGCUUGCGGGAGAUACUGUAAUGCUAGAGAUCGGUAGACGUAAAGAGUACACGAGAGGUAGUGGUAAAAUACGUUAAUCUUUCGUGGACUAACAAUCAGCGAAGGCACUUUACGAGGACGAAUCUGACAGUCAGGGAUGAAGGCCAGGGGCGCAAAACGGAUUAGAUACCCGUGUAGUCCUGGCAGUAAACACUGCUCACUAAACAUUGGGCCCUCUUCGGGAGGAUUCAGUGCUGAAGCGAAGGCGAAGAGUGAGCUACCUGGGAAGUAUAGUCGCAAGAUCGAAACUUAAAGGAAUUGGCGGGGGAG
rnacentral:rRNA from 1 species